AUUGAACGCUGGCGGCAGGCCUAACACAUGCAAGUCGAGCGGAUGAAGGGAGCUUGCUCCUGGAUUCAGCGGCGGACGGGUGAGUAAUGCCUAGGAAUCUGCCUGGUAGUGGGGGAUAACGUCCGGAAACGGGCGCUAAUACCGCAUACGUCCUGAGGGAGAAAGUGGGGGAUCUUCGGACCUCACGCUAUCAGAUGAGCCUAGGUCGGAUUAGCUAGUUGGUGGGGUAAAGGCCUACCAAGGCGACGAUCCGUAACUGGUCUGAGAGGAUGAUCAGUCAAACCGGAACUUAGACACCGUCCCGACUCCUACGGGAGGCAGCAGUGGGGAAUAUUGGACCAUGGGCGGAAGCCUGAUCCAGCCAUGCCGCGUGUGUGAAGAAGGUCUUCGGAUUGUAAAGCACUUUAAGUUGGGAGGAAGGGCAGUAAGUUAAUACCUUGCUGUUUUGACGUUACCAACAGAAUAAGCACCGGCUAACUUCGUG
rnacentral:rRNA from 1 species